UACGUAGGGGGCUAGCGUUGUCCGGAUUUAUUGGGCGUAAAGAGCGUGUAGGCGGCCAGGUAGGUCUGCUGUGAAAACUCGAGGCUCAACCUCGAGACGUCGGCGGAAACCAUCUGGCUAGAGUCCGGAAGAGGAGAGUGGAAUUCCUGGUGUAGCGGUGAAAUGCGCAGAUAUCAGGAAGAACACCCGUGGCGAAGGCGGCUCUCUGGGGACGGUACUGACGCUGAGACG
rnacentral:rRNA from 1 species